GAUGAAGAACGCAGCGAAAUGCGAUACGUAAUGUGAAUUGCAGAAUUCAGUGAAUCAUCGAAUCUUUGAACGCACAUUGCGCCCGCCAGUAUUCUGGCGGGCAUGCCUGUUCGAGCGUCAUUUCAACCCUCAAGCCCUCGGGUUUGGUGUUGGGGAUCGGCGAGCCUUUCUGGCAAGCCGGCCCCGAAAUCUAGUGGCGGUCUCGCUGCAGCCUCCAUUGCGUAGUAGUAAAACCCUCGCAACUGGAACGCGGCGCGGCCAAGCCGUUAAACCCCCAACUUCUGAAUGUUGACCUCGGAUCAGGUAGGAAUACCCGCUGAACUUAAGCAUAUCAAUAAGCGGAGGA
rnacentral:misc_RNA from 1 species